rnacentral:rRNA from 1 species
UACAGAGGGUGCGAGCGUUGUCCGGAAUCACUGGGCGUAAAGGGCGCGUAGGUGGCGGCCCAAGUCCAUGGUGAAAGCUCGCCGCUCAACGGCGAGUCGGCCACGGAUACUGGGUUGCUCGAGCACUGUAGGGGCAGAUGGAAUUCCGGGUGUAGCGGUGGAAUGCGCAGAUAUCAGGAGGAACACCGGUGGCGAAGGCGGGUCUCUGGGCCGAUAUUGACGCUGAGGAGCGAAAGCGUGGGGAGCAAACAGG